rnacentral:lncRNA from 1 species
UUUUUUUGUUUUUGUUUUUUUUUGGGGGGGGUUGUUUUUUUUUAACUUUAGCAUUUCUUUUUUUUUUGUAUUUUUUUAUUGGAGUUCAAUUAACCAACAUAUAGUAUAACACCCAGUGCUCAUCCUGUCAAGUGCCCUCCUCAGUGCCCAUUAUAGUCAACAGUAUUGUUUUAUUUUUUUAAUUAACAAAUAUUGUUGACUAUAACAAAAAUUCAGAUAAAUAUCUUUUGGUUUAGUAUAUAAAAUGUGGAUAAAUGAUACUUCUCCAAAUCUUAUGCCUAUGGGUUCUCUUCCCCAGAGUGCCAGAAAUUAUAAAAUCUCCAGUCAGCCUCACCUACAUGGAAAUGUUUGUGAACACCAACCUUCAACUUCUAGUUCAAGAUGACUCACGAGGGUAUUAUGCUGAGUGAAAUAAGUCAAUCGGAGAAGGACAAACAUUAUAUGGUCUCAUUCAUUUGGGGAAUAUAAAUAAUAGUGAAAGGGAAUAGAAGGGACGGGAGAAGAAAUGGGUAGGAAAUAUCAGAAAGGGAGACAGAACAUGAAGACUCCUAACUCUGGGAAACGAACUAGGGGUGGUGGAAGGGGAGGAGGGCACUGAGGGGGGCACUGGACGGGAUAAGCACUGGGUGUUAUUCUGUAUGUUGGCAAAUUGAACACCAAUAAAAAAUAAAUUUAUUAUUAAUAAAAAAAGAUGACUCACGACCCUGAACUCCAAUUUCUCCGCUCUCUUAGAUGUGUUUAUUCGACUCAGUUGUGUGCACAAAGUUCUGGCACAAGCAAGAACAAAAUUAGACGAGUGGUAUUUAGAUAUACAUCAAAAUUAUAGCUUUAAAUUUUCAACUGCCCCAAUCCACCAGGCCAGAAUUCUCAGCCUUUUCCAUGCCUCUACAAGGGUCAGUCAAUAUUUACAAGCAUUUGACUACUUUUAUCAAAGAAAGAAGUCCUUGAAAUUUGAAUGUAUAGAAAUGUCCAUAUAUUUAAUACUUUUUAAUCAGGUUCCCUUAGAACUUCAUUUUGGAAGUAUAGUUAAGUCCCUUAUACUGGGAAUCUCUUUUCUUUCCCCUCAGUUUAUCUUCUUCUCUUCUGUUAUCAGCCUCUCUGCUCAAAUGUUCUUAGAAUAAUUUGGGGGAAGAAAUAAUGUAGGCCAAGGUCACGAGUCUGAAUUUCAUUGGAGUCAGACAAAAUGGGAGAGGAGGGGAAUGACAAAAGUGAAAUUUCAAAAUCUAUUUUUGUUACAGUAAAAAUAAUUAAGUGAAAAUAUCCUGAACGAACCACUAAUAAUAAUUUUCUACCUUUAGAAGUUACAUAGAUUCAAAUGUACAAAUAUCAUACAUCCAAUAUUAUCCAUGUAUUCAACAAAUAUUUAUUGAAUAUCUACUACAUGCUAAGCCCUAUGCAGUAGACUGAGGACAUAAUGAUAGCAACUAUGAACAGAUAUCUGUCCUCAUAGAAUUUAUAGUCUGGUAGAAAAGGAAGACUCUAAUAAACUUAAAAUUGCAACUGUGGCAAAUGCUAGGUAUACAACACUAUGAAUGUAAGGAGAUUUGACCUAUUAUAGGAGGUCAUGGAAGGCCUCUGAGAUGGAAUCUUAAAGACAAGUAGGAAAUAAUUUAGGCAAAGAGGAGAAGUAAGAACCAC